rnacentral:rRNA from 1 species
AUUGAACGCUGGCGGAAUGCUUUACACAUGCAAGUCGAACGGCCGCACGGGGGCCACCCUGGUGGCGCGUGGCGAACGGGUGAGUAAUACAUCGGAACGUGCCCGGUCGUUGGGGCUAACGUAGCGUCAGUUACGCUGAUACCGCAUCCGAUCUGAUGAUGAACGCCGGGGACCUUCGGGCCUCGCGCGUUCGGCUCGCCCGAUGUCAGAUUAGCUAGUUGGUUGGGUAAAGGCCUACCAAGCCGACGAUCUGUAGCUGAUCUGAGAGGACGACCAGCCACACUGGGACUGAGACACGGCCCAGACUCCUACGGGAGGCAGCAGUAGGGAAUCUUGGACAAUGGGCGCAAGCCUGAUCCAGCCAUUCCGCGUGCAGGACGAAGGCCUUCGGGUUGUAAACUGCUUUUGUAUGGAACGAAAAGGCGCUGGCGAAUACCUGGAGGUCAUGACGGUACCGUAAGAAUAAGCACCGGCUAACUACGUG